AUGGAGUACCUGAAGGAGCAGUAUAUGCUUAAACACGCCACUCUGAUGGUGUUUCACAGUCACUCUAAUGUUUCUGUGUCUCCGUUCUCUUUUCUGCAUGCGAAGGUCACUCCGACCAAAACAAGCAAAGAAGCCAAAGCCACUCCAGAUGCUUCAAAAGAGCAGCCACAGAAAGAGACCCCAUCAGCACCAUCAACAAAUGUACAGGAAGCACCCAAGGCACCUCCUCCUCCUCCCCCAGCACCACCUAAGAUGGAAAGCAAAGCAGAGCCGGCGGUGAAGAAAGAGGAAACGUCUUCAACAAAAGCAGCAGCAGCAGCUACAACAAAAGCAGAGGGAUCUGCCAAGAGCAAAACCAAAGACAGUGCAUUAAGCAAACUCUUCCGUUCAAAGGUGUUGCUAGGCAAGGUGGUGUCAAAAGUUCAGGCGGCAACAAGCAGUGGAGCCAGAGCUAAGACGUCAGGAGUGCCUGUUGUGGUGGAAGAGAAAAAGCCGGUUGAGGUGCAGGUCGAUGCGUCUAAGACCAGCACUCUUGAGGCCGCUGCCAAACCUGAAGAACCUCCGGCGCCAAAACCAGAGGAGAAGAAACUAGAAAAGAAAUCCACUUUUGGAAACAUGUUCAAACCCAAGGCACCAGAGCCCAAGAAGGACACUCCAGCUGCUCCUCCCGUGGCAGAAGCCGCUCCACCCGCAAAGGCCAAAGAGGAGCCGAGACCCACCACUCCUGCACAGCAAGCGGUCCCGGACAACAAAUCAGCCGACAGCACAGGGAACGCCUCCCCCAACAUGCCCCACAAGCUGGAGAAGAGGAACUCCCUCCAGCUGUUCUUCAAAAACCUGGGCCAAAAACGCCAUUCUGAUGCCGGAGUGCAAACGGACCCUGUGGCACCCGAGAAGGCCAAAUAAAACCCCGCCUUUGUUUUGAUCGCUCAUCUGUGCCAAAACCAUUGGCAGCCAUGCACAUAAGAACAUAUUUACCAAAGUUGGGAGGUAUUAUGCUGACUUGCAAGGCCCAAGUUUGAAGUAACUAUCAAAUAAUAAUCUGAAUUCCCAUGCAUUUAAUGAGAGCAGAAGUAAGUGUAACGAUUUCCCUGUUAAGCAAGUGCUACAUGUGUUUAUGACCGGAGGGAGGAACUCGUGUUGUUUUUCAGAGAGAAACGUGUCAGAGUUGCGUGGUGUGGCAUGAGAUGGAAAAGUGAAAGUGAAAAUGUAAUCCUGCAUUGAAGAUAAACUCCCUUUUUUAUGUGCAUGUUAAAAUGUAAAAUAUGUUAACUAUACUAACACUACUUAUAUUGCAUCACACAUUAAAGCCGAUGCAUUAAGAUGCCUUUUCACCGGGACAAAGAUAACAUCAUGAAAAGAAUUUAUUUAUGUAAUCAUACACUGUCAUCUGAUUAUGAAUAAAAUGACCCAUCGUCUGCUGAAUUCAAUCACUGAAACCUACAAAGCCAAUUUGAAUUCCACUUAAAGUGCAAAACUUCUGAAUCACUUUAAUAAAUCCAUAGAAAUCACAAUUAUUUAUUUAACAUAAUGUCAAUCAAAUUGAGCACCAUAUAUUAUUACUCCAAAUUAUUCGGUUAUUUAAGUUCAGCCCAGUUUCUAUUUAAAAAAUAAUAAUUGUUUUCAUUUCUACAAUUGUUUAUUAAUCAUAACUUACUAACUAAACCACAUUACAAUUAUUGUCUUUUUAUUUGCUUGGCCGUCCAUUUCUGACCGGAGGAGACUAAAAAGAAUUAAGCUAGUUAAAUGUUUUAUUUCUUUCUAUUUUCCGAACAUAUCAGUUGUUAUUAGAACAGUAUGAAAUAAAUAUGUGGUAUACAGUUAUGCAAUAUACAAUGUACAUUCAAUUUAGCUGCAGUCACAUGUGUUUUAUGAUUUUCUUCCUAAUUAUCGCUACAUUUGUAAAGAGUAGAUGGGCCUAAUUAAGAAUUCAGACUGUAUCCAUGAAUCUUAGACUUUCUGUAACUCCUUUGUUGCAUUUUUGUCUAUUUAACCAAUUUAUAAAAAUAAAAGAAUCAUUUCUCUCCUCUGUAAAAAUGACUCGUUCUGUAUUUACAGCAUAGAAAACAUAGUAUUUUAAAAUAUAUUAGUUUUACUAUUUUCCGUGGGGGAAAAAAAUCCCUCGCGCCAUCAGAGAUGUGUAUAAGAGACAGGUCGCAAGGAGGGUGAGAGGCCCUGUGCAAAGUUGACAUGCGAGUGUUCACACUGUUGUGCGUGUGUGUGUGUGUGUGUGUGUGUGUGUGUGUGUGUGUGUGUGUGUGUGUUUCUGAAAGAAGCCUUUUUCUGCUCACCAAAGCUGCAUUUAUUUAAUUAAAAAACAAUAAAAACAGUAAUACUGUAAAAUGUUAUUUCAAAAAUGUAAUUUAUUCCUGUGAUGUAAAGCUGAAUUUUCAGCAUCAUUACUCCAGUCUUCAGUGUCACAUGAUCCUUCAGAAAACAUUAUAAUUUGCUGCUCUAGAGGCAUCUAGACACAUUCUCUCACAGACAUAUGCAUUCUUGGGAAGAAAAUGUAGCUGUAAAUGUUGGCUACAGAGUUCCAGGAUUUGUGGAAGUGCUUGAGGAGGAGCUGCUGACAGAGGGAGGCAGAACAGAGCUGCUAUUGUCCUGCAGACUCAUGGCCACACUCAUAACUGUCAUGAACGCUUCUCUGAGAGAUGUGAUAUCUCUGAGACGCUCACGCUAACCUCACGUGAGGCCUGCUGACCAUUAAAGACAUAGUUCAACAUGACAUGAACAAUGUGCCGUCAUUUACUCGACCUUGUGUAACUUUUGAAACUCAUAUGAAAGAUAAUCAUGUGUUUGGAAGAACAUGAGAGUGAGCGUAGAAUUUAGUAGGGAUGCUAGAGACGUGUCCCUAUACCAAUAACCAGCAACUACUAAAUUGUCCCCUAGCAAUAAUUUUGAUCAACAAAUUAAAUAUAUGUACAUGUAACCACUGUUGUUGUAAUUUCUGCCGCAUCUCAUACUAUUGAUAUUACCUGAGAAGUAACAAAUAAGCUCAAAGACAUACAUGUGUGGAAUAAGAACAUAAAAGGUAGCUGAAGUGUUUAAAAUAUACAGUACGUGCACAGUUCCAUUCAAUCAUAAAGUUUAUGUUUUCAGUUUUUCUGUGGAUAUUUUUUUCUUAAAGCGCAGCUCACGCUCAAACGCCAUUCCUUAUUUGAGUCUAAUACAUAAUUGCCACAGGAAAGAAAUUUCAAGUACAAUUUCAGUCAUAGUUGCAGGAAUGUAAUAUAAAACAACAAUGCAGGAACAACCAUAGGUUUUCUCUGGGCAAAACUAGAGAGCUAUCCAGUAGCUGUACAGACAGUGCUUUACAAACAUGGCUGAAGACACGAAAUGCGGAGUAACAGACAAACCAAUUUAAUUGAGUGAGUCAUUUACGCUGGAACCGAUCCAAAUUAUUCAAACUUGUGACUUCGAUCAUUCAGUUCAAGUGAUUCAAUAGCAAAAACCAGUUCAAAAGAGCUUGUAAAAGAUGUCUUGUAAUGAUUUAUAAAAGCAAUAGUGAUGGAUAAAAGAUCUUUCGAAACUCGUCGGUUAAACCACUAUUUGUGUAUCAGUAAUCAUUUGAUUCACAUCAGGACUUCGGAGUGCGUAUUGUGAAUCAUUUGAUUCACAUCAGGACUUCGGGUUCACAAGUCAUUUUUGACUCGAAUUGAAAGAUUUGUGAUGCAUGCUCCACAGUCCCGAUCUGAAAUGAUAGUUCACGAAUCACUAUACAAAUUGGGACUUAAAUCAAAAUUGAUUUAGAUUGAAACUUCGGAGUAGGUUCCCGAAUAAUUUUUGGUACUCCGGAGCACAAGCCGUGGCUCCUAAUCGGUGGUCCUGUGUUGUACAGUGAGAGAGGUUCAAAGAUGGCCGUUGUCACGGUCUUACGACCGAAGAUCCUUUCAGAAAAGAUCCGAGCCUUUGAUAAUUUUCUGAAAGUGUCAGUAAUUCAGCAUGAUCAUCACACAGUGUGCAGUUACGACCCACGUUUACUGACCAGCCAAUAAAAUGCAACCUGAAAUCAACAUGACAUGGCGCUAAAAUAUAAAACUGCUUACCUCAAGCUCUUAUUUCUUCCUCUUUCACUGCUUCCUCUUUCUCUACACACAUAAAAACUACAACUGUCAAAGUGUGAUUCAUCAUGCUAUUUUUGUUUACCACUAACGGAUGCUAAUAAUGUUUUAUUCUUCUGUAGAAACGAGCAUGGUAGCGUACGGGUCAAUAGGUGUCAUCAUCGUACAGUCUACAUGCAUGUCAUACCCAAGUUUAUUAGACAGUGUGAUUUGAAAUGAUCUUUUAGAAUUGCUAAAAUUAUGUAGUGUGUAUAAGGCUUUAUAUCAGGAUUGGAGCAGGUUAGCGAAUUAUUUGAUUCAGAUUGGGACUUUGGCACACAUAUCUUGAAUCUUUUGAUUAAGUUCAGCCCUGCGUCCCAAUGUUCAUGCUAUCCAUCCUAAAUAGUAUGUGAGAUUAGAAUAAGUGUGUCCCAAAGCAUAGUAUGUUGAAAAGAGUAUGUCAAAAGUCCCCGGAUGGUCUACUAUGUCAGGUCUAUUUUUGAAGUGUGGAUCCGUGCACACUCUGAUGGCUAAUAUUACCCACAAUCCACUGCACUUUGAUGAAUGAUUCUGUUGAGAACUAAUGCCGCGUUCCAGGCAACCCGUAACCCGUGUUUUUCCAACGUGAAAACACCAUGAAAGUGCACACGGCAGUCAAACCCGUGACUUCCCACCCAUGAACUCGUACUAGAACGAUGUACUCGCAGUUCCGAGCUCUGACGUCACAUAGCCCGCGAAACAACAAUGGAAGCCCCUACGGAUAAAACUGCCUAUGGAUGCAGUGUUAAUGCAAGUGGUGCACGUUAAAAAAAAUAGAUUUUAGGACAAUAUAACGUUGCAAUAAAAUUGAUAAUCUAGCUACAAUUCCUUGCACUCAGGAAGUUUGGCGUGAUUUGACUGGAACUCUACAAAGUCGUGAGUCGUGGUUUGAAGUUGUGAUUUACGGGCUCAAAAACCUGCCUGGAACACAGCAUGAAACACAAAUAAAUAGCAUUAAAAAACUACAAAUAUGGUGGAUGUGUGCGACCAAUGGUUAAGUAGAGAGGUUUAGAUAAAGGGGUUUGAGUAACUAAUAAUAAACAAUUUAACCUAGGUAAAAAAAAGAAGAAAAAAUAAUUUAAUAGUUGUCUGUGUUAUAUUUCAUCUGCAGCAGCAAUGUGAACUUUUAUAAACAUCCAUUUGUAUUCAUUACUUUUUUAUUGUAUAUUUUA
rnacentral:lncRNA from 1 species